rnacentral:rRNA from 1 species
GAAGGGGGCUAGCGUUGUUCGGAAUUACUGGGCGUAAAGCGCGCGCAGGCGGUCUUCCAAGUCAGUGGUGAAAGCCCGGAGCUCAACUCCGGAACUGCCAUUGAAACUGUUAGACUUGAGGACGAGAGAGGUGAGUGGAAUUCCCAGUGUAGAGGUGAAAUUCGUAGAUAUUGGGAAGAACACCGGUGGCGAAGGCGGCUCACUGGCUCGUAUCUGACGCUCAGGCGCGAUAGCGUGGGGAUCAAACAGGAUUAGAUACCCUGGUAGUCCACGCCGUAAACGAUGAAUGCUAGCCGUUGGGCAGCUUGCUGUUCAGUGGCGCAGCUAACGCAUUAAGCAUUCCGCCUGGGGAGUACGGCCGCAAGGUUGAA